GACGAACGCUGGCGGCGUGCUUAACACAUGCAAGUCGAACGGGCAGGCCCUGCUUUUGUGGGGUGCUCGAGUGGCGAACGGGUGAGUAAAACGUGAGUAACCUGCCCUUGAAUUUGGGAUAACUUCAGGAGAAUGGGGCUCUUACCCGAUAUGAUCUCCUGCUGCAUGGGGUGGGUUGGAAAGUUUCGGCGGUGCGGGAUGGACUCGCGGCAUAUCCGCUUGUUGGUGGGGUAGUGGCUUACCAAGGCUUUGACGGGUAGCCGGCCUGAGAGGGUGACCGGCCACAUUGGGACUGAGAUACGGCCCAGACUCCUACGGGAGGCAGCAGGGGGGAAUAUUGCACAAUGGGCGGAAGCCUGAUGCAGCAACGCCGCGUGCGGGAUGACGGCCUUCGGGUUGUAAACCGCUUUCGCCGGUGACGAAGCGUGAGUGACGGUAAUGGGUAAAGAAGCACCGGCUAACUACGUG
rnacentral:rRNA from 1 species